rnacentral:rRNA from 1 species
CCUACGGGAGGCAGCAGUGAGGAAUAUUGGUCAAUGGGCGCGAGCCUGAACCAGCCACGUCGCGUGAAGGACGACUGCCCUCCGGGUUGUAAACUCCUUUUAUAAGGGAAUAAAGUGCGGUACGUGUGCCAUUUUGCCUGUACUUUAUGAAUAAGGAUCGGCUAACUCCGUGCCAGCAGCCGCGGUAAUACGGAGGAUCCGAGCGUUAUCCGGAUUUAUUGGGUUUAAAGGGAGCGUAGAUGGGUUGUUAAGUCAGUUGUGAAAGUUUGCGGCUCAACCGUGAAAUUGCAAUUGAUACUGGGAGUCUGGAGUACAGUUGAGGUAGGCGGAAUUCGUGGUGUAGCGGUGAAAUGCUUAGAUAUCACGAAGAACUCCGAUUGCGAAGGCAGCUUACUAGACUGCCACUGACGUUGAUGCUCGAAAGUGUGGGUAGCAAACAGGAUUAGAUACCCCAGUAGUC